GUUAAAUGUUUGGUUGGAUGAAGUAAUGUUGGAAGCUCGAUUUUUCACAUUGCAACUAGCUUUAUGGCUUUUACAUCUCAAAAAAGCUUUACUUUGGUGAAACUUAUCAAUGCACAAGGAACCAGUUUCAUCAACAUACUUUCCGAGGAUUUUUCAUUCUUUUUCUCCGUGGUCGAAUUCCCCAAUCUUUUCUUGCUGGGUUAUUGAACACGGAUCGAUUAUACAGGUGCAGAUGAAGAGUUGAAAAAUAGAAUUUCCAGGACAGAUUAAUAUUAUGAUAGAAAAUAUUGUAUACAUAUUCAUUGAUGUUAGUCAAAUUUAUAUAUAGAGUGCAGCUGUAAGGGACGUCUCUUUUUUCUGGGUGUGUUCUGGAUUUGGAGAAGUUGCAAUGGUAACUCAUAACA
rnacentral:misc_RNA from 1 species